GAGGGGGCGGAGCUAGCCUGCUGGAGCCCAACUGCUGAGACCACCAUUGUAUACGCUUACAGCAUUAAUAUUCAAUGGCCGGAGAUCCCACUGUAGAUUAUUUAGAAGACAGCAAGUACUUCAGCAUGCACAGUCUGAUAUUUUUGGUUAGUAUGAGCCAGAGUACACGCCGACGAGUUACGCCGUUUUGUGCUGCUUGUAAACAUAGCAACAGUCGAAGCUUAGCUUUGUUGAAGCUUGGCUUUGACUAGCUUCAGGGUGCCAAGGACAAACUAGAAAAAAAACAACCGGACAGAACGGUGGAAUGAGCACUCAGUAAAAUUGGCUGGUCGCGUAUCAUCACAGACUCUUGGACAACCGUCUUGUCUUUUCAGCCACUAACAGCAGAUGAAGAAAAGAAGGGGGUUUUGGCUAAGUGAAGAAUCUGCAGACAACUGUCUGCUUGGAUUCCAAACAAAAAGCUGCUAAACAACCUAGAAACUAUGUCUUUUUUCAAAAGCACUUAAAAUAUAACUUUUGUUAAAAAUGUAAAGUAAUGUUUGAACGUUUGUUUGUUAGAUUCAGCAGUGCUUCUUUCAGCGUAGAGACAUGAUGCAUCUGGCAUACGCCAGCCAGAGCAGUUUCGCUCCAGCAGGCUUGCUCCACCCCCUCUCAGCCCGACCGUUGCUGGGGCAGGUACAGAGGAAUCCAGCAAGCACUACCUCUGUUAGCCCAAGGCAAAAAAAAAAAACUCUCCCCUGUUUCAGAGGCUUUUUACAGAGAAAUAAAUGUUAAUAUAGAUAAUAUGGA